rnacentral:tRNA from 1 species
GGCCCGUUGGUCAAGCGGUCUAAGACACCGGCCUUUCACGCCGGUAACAGGGGUUCGAGUCCCCUACGGGUCACCA